UACGGAGGAUGCAAGCGUUAUCCGGAAUCAUUGGGCGUAAAGCGUCCGCAGGUGGCGAUUCAAGUCUGCCGUCAAAUCCAGUGGCUCAACUACUGACAGGCGGUGGAAACUGAACAGCUAGAGUGCGGUAGGGGUAGAGGGAAUUCUCGGUGUAGCGGUGAAAUGCGUAGAGAUCGGGAAGAACACCAGUGGCGAAAGCGCUCUGCUGGACCUGCACUGACACUGAGGGACGAAAGCUAGGGGAGCGAAUGGG
rnacentral:rRNA from 1 species